rnacentral:lncRNA from 1 species
AGGGCUUGGGAUACAUGGGGCUGAGAUCUAAUGGACAGAAGUCUAUUUAAGCUAUGAUAGGACUCCUACAUUGAGUCUAAUUGGGAUUUAGGUCUUUAAAAGAACUGUGGCAGAACAGAGGGGGUGCUAUAGCAUGGUGCAUUCGGUCAAGGACCCAGAGCAGCAGCAAAUCGAGAGGAGCCGUCAGAGAGCAGAGGCAGGGGUGCUUCAGACAGACUGUCAGGCAGCAAAUAAUGGUUGCUUCAAGAGUUCAGGGGAUCUUCCUAGAGAAAGCUUUUAUGAAGGAGAGCUUC